UACAGAGGCCUCGAGCGUUGUUCGGAAUUACUGGGCGUAAAGAGCAUGUAGGUGGUCAUGUAAGUCAGAUGUGAAAGCCCUGGGCUUAACCUGGGAAGUGCAUUUGAUACUGCUUGGCUGGAGUGCGAGAGAGGAAAGCGGAAUUCCAGGUGUAGGAGUGAAAUCCGUAGAUAUCUGGAGGAAUACCGAUGGUGAAGACAGCUUUCUGGCUCGUUACUGACACUGAGAUUCGAAAGCAUGGGUAGCAAACAGG
rnacentral:rRNA from 1 species